rfam:Nitrospirae bacterium RBG_13_41_22 RBG_13_scaffold_21925, whole genome shotgun sequence.
UCCGGUGGCGAUGCCGGAGGGGAAACACCCGUUCCCAUACCGAACACGGAAGUUAAGCCCUCCAGGGCCGAUGAUACUAUGAUUGAUAAGGUCAUGGGAAAGUAGGUCGCUGCCGGAU